CUUCUACUCCCUCCGUCCAGAAAUACUUGUCAUCAAGAUGAAUAAAAGGGGAUGUAUCUAGAUGUAUUUUAGUUCUAGAUACACCUCUUUUUAUCCAUUUUGAUGACAAAUAUUUCUGGACGGAGGGAGUAUUUG
rnacentral:pre_miRNA from 1 species